rnacentral:rRNA from 1 species
ACUCCUACGGGAGGCAGCAGUGGGGAAUUUUGGACAAUGGGCGAAAGCCUGAUCCAGCAAUGCCGCGUGUGUGAAGAAGGCCUUCGGGUUGUAAAGCACUUUUGUCCGGAAAGAAAUCCUUGGCUCUAAUACAGUCGGGGGAUGACGGUACCGGAAGAAUAAGCACCGGCUAACUACGUGCCAGCAGCCGCGGUAAUACGUAGGGUGCGAGCGUUAAUCGGAAUUACUGGGCGUAAAGCGUGCGCAGGCGGUUUGCUAAGACCGAUGUGAAAUCCCCGGGCUCAACCUGGGAACUGCAUUGGUGACUGGCAGGCUAGAGUAUGGCAGAGGGGGGUAGAAUUCCACGUGUAGCAGUGAAAUGCGUAGAGAUGUGGAGGAAUACCGAUGGCGAAGGCAGCCCCCUGGGCCAAUACUGACGCUCAUGCACGAAAGCGUGGGGAGCAAACAGGAUUAGAAACCCCAGUAGUCCCAUGA